CAGACAAGAAAGACUUGUUAGAAGACUUGCUGAUUGCAGGCUGAUUCAUCCUGCUCUUGGAGCAAAGACAGGAUUUACAGACAUACAGCCAAAUCAAUGUCAUGUAGAAAAAUACUCCUACACACACACACACACACACACAUAGCUCUACCACAGCUGUGAAAUGUUGCCUCCUGACACAUGCACGCAUAGACACAUGCAUUUAUAGUAUAAACACACACACACACACACACACACAUUAAGCUACCUUGUUGAUGAUGUGCUGCUGCUGUUGGAACUGUUGUUUGUGUUUUUCCAGGAAUUGCUGGUGCUGCUGCUGGACCACCAGCUGCUGCAGGGCCUGGGCUUGUCCACAUUGUUGCUGGGGCAGAGGGGCUGACUGGGUUCUUCCCAAGGGACGAUGGCCUCGCGCAAGUUUGGAGACAGAGGGUGAUGGUAGUGGGAGGCCACCCAGACCAACUGUGGAAAUCACAAACAGUACCAUAUGUUGGAGAAGGGGGUUGUGACCAGCCGUGCCCCCUCCAGCCCCCUCCCUGUCCAGAGCUGAAGCUGCCAAGUAGGAGGGCAGGUGGGCAGUGGGCAAGAACGGAGGGGUCAAAGGAAUGCCCUGCUGUAACGCAGGCAAUGCCAGACGACUCUCACUAUCUUGGUGUCCUGAUACCACCUACAGAGAGAGAGAGAGAGACAGCGAGACAAGGACGGAGAAGGAAAGAGACAGGCAUACACAGAAGGAGAUGAUGGACAGAUGGACAGAGACAAAGAAGGGCCAAAUGAGACAGAAUGUGAGUGAGAUGAAGAAAGAGAGUCAGAGUGAGAGAGAGAGAGACAUGUAAGGCAUCUUCAUAUCAAAAAUCAUUGAUAUGAGCGUUCCUUCUUUUUUAAUUUUCUAUGUAUAAGUGAGAACCCAGUUUGUAAUUUGCAUACUCCGUGUGCAUAGACUGGCUUAAAAGAUACCAACUGUGUGAUUGUUAUUUUGAAUCUCUAGUAAACUAAUCAGGCAGUGAA